CCGCUGCGCUGGUCCUCACACUCACUGGCGCCCGCUCCCCGUUCGCCCCUUCUUCCAGCCGGAGCUUGGUGGGCGGCCCGGCCGGCUGUGCUGAGAGUGAGCUGCGGGUGCUGGCCUCCAGGCGAGGUCCAUCAGUUGCUCCUCUCUGAGCUGGGCGGAGGUUCGAGAAGGGGAUCCUACUCUUUCUGCCCCUGAAGAUGUAGAGGAAAACCAUCGUUUCACCCAAGACUUGCCCGUGUCUCCUGUCUCGUGUCCUGAGCUGAGCUGGAUGAAGAGAGACAAGAGACACCCCUGCAGCCUUUCAUCUCUCUGAAAUCUGGGGGAAAAAAGAGAUUCUUGCUCAGCAGCACUGCUGCUUCUGUGACAGCACAUAACUUAUGUCCUUUAUAGCACAAAUUAUGAUGUGUAGUUUAAAAAUAAACAUAAAAUGUG